rnacentral:rRNA from 1 species
AUGGAAGCAGAACUCACAACACUAGAUACAGCUACGGUCGAAGCAGAUUGGCUUCGCCGGCUCUUGAAUGACUUGCCGGUUGUUGAGAAAUCUGUACCGGGUAUCCUUAUGAACUGCGACAAUCAAACUGUGAUCACGAAAGCGAGCAGCUCAAAGAAUAACAUGAAGUCAUCAAGACACGUUCAGAGAAGGUUAAAGUCUGUCAGGAAAAUGAGAAACUCCGGAGUUAUUGCAUUGGAUUAUAUCCAAACGUCUAAAAAUCUGGCAGAUCCUUUUACUAAGGGUCUAUCACGUAAUGUGAUAGAUAAUGCAUCGAGGGAGAUGGGUAUGAGACCCACAAUAUGA